UGGAAACAUCUUAAAUCUGGUGGGUACAGUAUUCUGUCUCAGGCGGACGCUUUGCCCAGUUCUAUCGAUGAAUGUUUCCUUAAAGUGGUCAGAACAUAUGAAGGAGGACUUUUUAGGCGACCAAUUUUGGCGUCGAAUGUUGUGUGUCCACUGUUUUCUUUUAAGUAGAUCUUUAGGAGACCUACAGAAGAAUUUAGAUAUAUUGGUGACUUUUUGGUGCAUGUUUAUAUGUGCAAAUGAUAACUAGAACUCUACUCCAUACAAAGCUUGCUGGGGUGUGUACUGACAAGGUCACUUUGCCCAACCCUAUCCUUGCUUGGUAGGGCAAAUGUCUUCAUUAGAAGGUAAAAUGGUAAAAAAAUUGGAAUUUUUAAAGUUGAAUAUUGAAAACUCAGAUUUAGGUCCGUUUUUUCUGGUCAGAUUCUUCAAUUCCCCCAAACCCUUAACUCUUCCUAAAAUAUGGUGGGGUGUAAAUGGUAAUCAUGUAUACUCUUCAGAAGGCAAGGGUGCAUACUUUAUCCCCACCCUGUAUUGUCAGAUAUUAUUAAAGACUAAUUAUAAUAUUUAAACAAUAAGAACCAAAUGUUCUCUCGAAAAUUGUUAAUAAAUGAUCGAUUUUAUGUAUGCCAUAUUUACAUUUAAUUUACUGUAUUGUAAAUUGGUUUAAAAAAAAACCUUAAUACCUGUGAAAUGAUCUUGGAAAACUUCUUUUAAUAUGCGAUUCUUCAUCAAUUUCCCCCUCACUGUCACUCCUUAACUCGCUUUUAUCAGCACCCACCUUUGCCCUUUUACAACAGCCAAAAGCACAGCAUUGUGAACCUCUAUUAACUUUCCCC
rnacentral:lncRNA from 1 species